UGGAAGUAAAAGUCGUAACAAGGUUUCCGUAGGUGAACCUGCGGAAGGAUCAUUAACGAAUUUAAUUAUCAUCUUAUUAUGUGAACUUUUAAUCCCUUUGUGGAUUAGAAAUGCUUCGGUGCUGGGUAAAAAUUUAUAUUUUUACCAGGCGCCGGUAGAAAACUCAUUUAAACUUUAUGUCUAAACUAAAAAUUUUAAUAAAUUAAAACUUUCAACAACGGAUCUCUAGGUUCUCGCAUCGAUGAAGAACGCAGCGAAAUGCGAUACGUAUUGUGAAUUGCAGAUUUUUGUGAAUCAUCGAAUCUUUGAACGCACAUUGCACCUGGUGGUAUUCCGCCAGGUAUGCCUGUUUGAGCGUCAUUUCUCUCUCACUCCGGUGGUUUUGCUGUUUAUCAUUUUUUCGGAAAUGUACAGUGAAAAGAAAUGGCAAGGCUCUAGUUCUUACGAAAUGUUUUAGGUUCUACCAACUACAUUCUCUAAGUUCUAAUAAAGUCGGCUUGAUAAUUCUUUCAAUGUUGACCUCAAAUCAGGUAGGACUACCCGCUGAACUUAAGCAUAUCAAUAAGCGGAGGAA
rnacentral:misc_RNA from 1 species